rnacentral:rRNA from 1 species
UACGUAGGGUGCAAGCGUUAUCCGGAAUUAUUGGGCGUAAAGAGCUCGUAGGCGGUUUGUCGCGUCUGCUGUGAAAACUGGAGGCUCAACCUCCAGCCUGCAGUGGGUACGGGCAGACUAGAGCGCGGUAGGGGAGAUUGGAAUUCCUGGUGUAGCGGUGGAAUGCGCAGAUAUCAGGAGGAACACCGGUGGCGAAGGCGG